CACUGUCUGCCUGGGCCACCUCCUGGGCACCAUGGGGCAGAUCGUUGUCACCCAGGAAGAUGGAGAAGUCCUGGUGAAGCAGAAAGGCCUCUUCCAGACCACCUGUACAUACCAGACCAAUUACUUCAAUGGAUUGUUGUGGUACCAGCAGAGGAAAGGACAAGCCCCACAGCUGCUCUCGUCUCAGGCGGGGGCCGGCCAGAGGCAGAGCGGCCGUAUCAGCACGGAGCUGAACACCACGGGGAAAUACAGUGUCCUGCAGGUGGAGGAAGUGGAGGUCUCUGACAGUGCCUUGUACCUCUGUGCUGUGCGAGACACCCUGGUGCAGGGAGCUCCCUGGGCUGUGCAACAAGCCAGGGGAGGGAGGGGAUGUGUCUGUGCAAGGCUGAGCUUGGGGAAAGGGACCCUCCGCUGUCCCCUGGCAGCGCUGCUUCCCCUGUACACCCAGAGAUCUGCAGGCUGAGCCCCUCUUCCAGGAGAGGAGAGUGUCAGUGGUCGAGGGGAAGGAGAAAGAGGUGAAACAAUUUCCAGAUUGCUCAUUGUCACUUAUGGGUUCCGUGGUUCUUCUUCCCAACAUCUCCAGGGAGUUGUUGGGCAAUUCAGGAGGCUGAGACCACUUCUGCAACGAUUCCUUGUGCUGCUCUUGGCUUUCUGUUUUUCCCUGCUGCCCGUGGCUUCUCCAGGAUUUCCACUGGGCUUGUCCCUUAGAGUACCUGCUCUGGGUUGUGUCCCUCAGAGUUCCAAGUUCAAAGUAGGGUGAAAAACAUAAAUAAGACGUUAUCUGCAAUGCUCCUUCCUUGAAUUGCAUGACUCCAACAAUUUCUGAAAGUGCUCAGAAGUGCCCAAUGAAAACGUCCAGUUGCUGUGUGGCAGAGGAGAAGUGGAGGAGAGAGCAGGAAG